rnacentral:lncRNA from 1 species
NNNNNNNNNNNNNNNNNNNNNNNNNNNNNNNNNNNNNNNNNNNNNNCGGGGCCCUUCCCCGGCGCUCUCCUGAGGGGCGGGAGGAGAAACGGGCUUAGAAAGGGGGAGUCUGCCCCCGCAUCCCUCCCCGGCAGAGGAGGGGAGAAAACGAGGCCGGUUGGUCCCCCGCACGGCCAGUCCACAAGGUUGCACGGCCGAUUCGCCCUGCUGCACGGCCAAUUCACCCCGUUGCACGGCUAAUUCACCCCGUUGCAUGGCCCAUUCCCCCGCGCACGGCCAAUUCGCCCCGUUGCCUGGCUGAUUCACCCUUGUGUACAGCCAAUUCCCCCGUGCACAGCCAGUUUUCCUGUGCACAGCCAAUUCGCCCCACGCACGGCCAGUCUGCGCUGUUGCACGGCCAGUUCGCCCUGUGCCUGGCCAGUUUGCCCCAUUGCAUGGCCAAUUCGCCCCAUUGCACAGCCAGUUCACAAGGAUGCACGGCCAAUUCGCCCGUGCACGGCCAAUUCGCCCCGUGCAAGGCCAAUUCACCCUGUUGCACAGCCAGUUCCCCCAUGCACGGCCAAUUCCCCCCGUGCGUGGCCUAUUCGCCCCAUUGCAAGGUCAAUUCCCCCGUGCACAGCCAAUUCACCCCGCUGCACGGCUGAUCACCCUUGUGUAAUUCCCCCGUGCACAGCCAGUUUUCCUGUGCACAGCCAAUUCGCCCCACGCACGGCCAAUUUGCGCUGUUGCACGGCCAGUUCGCCCCGCGCCUGGCCAGUUCCCCGGUGCACAGCCAAUCUGCCCUGUUGCACAGCCAAUUCCCCCCGUGCGUGGCCUGUUCACCCCAUUGCAAGGCCAAUUCACCCGUGCACGUCCAAUUCACCCCAUUGGAUGGCCAGUUCACAAGGCUGCAUUGCCAAUUCCCCCCGACACGGCCCAUUUGCCCCGUUGCGCGGCCAGUUGACUACGUUGCACGGCCAGCUCGUCCCGUGCAGGGUCAAUUCGGCCCGUUGCAUGGCCGAUCCUCGUCCGUUUUCGCCAUGCAGCUCAACAAAUCCAUCGCCAGCAGCAUGCGAAGGCAGAAAGUGCCG